GUGGACGCGUUUGUAAUCCUGAGAUGUGAGGGCCUCAAAUAUUGCGCAAUCUUCCGAGUUUAAUCGGUAGUGGAAUUUUACGAACGAUUCCGAACAGACAGCUGUCUGCCAUUUCUAAACAUGCUUGUAUCCAUGAAAUACGAUGAACUUCUUUCAUAUUUUUAAAAAAUUAAUAUUCUUUAUUUGUUUUGCCACAGAUUUUAUGCAGUUAUUCACGGAUUUUAUGGUGUAAUUAAAAGGUGAUCUAUGUGGUUCCUGUUUUAUACUAAGAAGUACUUAUAAAAACUAUUGUUGGCUGGAAACCUGUAAUAAAUUGUCCUAGUUCUUUUUGUGAUAAAUGAAUUGUAGUGGUAUCAUCCUGAAAGAAUAAUCUAGCCCAGAAGAAGUUGGAUAAAAAUAUAAAUUACAUUACGUCUUGUAAUUGUAUUUAAAAUUGUUCGCAAUGUAAAUAAAUAAAAUCUCUAUCUUCUUAAAGUGAUCAUGACUUAUGAGUAGGAUUGUUGAUUUAAAAAAUUCUUAUGAAAAAAAAUCUACCUAUUUGAUUUAUAUCAUAUAUUUUUGUUUUGUUAAACUGAGACAUUUCUCUUAAAGUAUGCAUGGAAGGAAAAAUAUUCAACAAUUAAGAAUAUUUUCUAAUUAAGAAUUAAAUAUGUCCUUCAAUUUAUCAGAAAUUUAGUUGAUGUAAAAAAAGUUUACUUGAUGAUAAAAGCUACUGAGUUAUUUUAAUAUAUAAUUUAGUGUUACGUAUUAUAUUUCAUUUUCAAUAAUUGAUUAUUUUCAUUUAAAAUUUUUAUUUUGAUAUCUUGUCUAUUACUAAUGUGUUCUGAUAUUAAUUAUAUUAAACUUUUGAUUUGGUUAUA